GCACGUGUACACGUACACGAUCUCGUGCUCAAAUCGGGUAGGUGCGGUUACUUUUCCAAAAACGGAAAACUCCGUUUCUUCUCCUGUUUGCCAGGCUGGCAACCCUAGCCUCUUGCAACCUCGACCGUUGGAUGAACAGCAUCCAAACCAUUCGUUUUAGGGCAUUUACAUAGCUGACAUUAGAAUCUUUCCGCCACUGCCGCAAAUGGGAUCAAACCUAAACUAAAUCACUAACCGUCGUCCAUUCGGUGGGCCCCACAGAGAUCAUAGGACCCAUCCGAACCAUCCAAACGUGGCUGAUCAUUAGAUCAACCAUCUGUGGGAAAUCCGCCAUUAACAGCGGAGCCAUCGUCACCGUUUAUCCGAAAACACCCAUCACCCUUGAUCGGGCCCAUUCAUUGAUCAACGUCGUCCAUAUGGAGGACCAUGAUGCCAGAAGAUCAUCCAUCGUCCUCGAUCACAGCCAUGCAAUCAGGAUUACAUAUUGCCAUUUCAAAACAUCUUGUAUUAAACGACUAAGGAUCGUAACUAAUCCUUUGAUUAGUUAUGAUUCGAACAGUCUAGAAUAAAUUAAUAAAGCCUAUAAAAGGCUGUCUUUUAGGGCUUUCUUUCUAAAAUCAGAAAGCCAUAAGGAAGGGAGAGAGGGCGCCGCUGCCAUUGCCAUGCCUAAUGGAGUCGACUCGGUCCGAGUCGCUGCAAAAUCAGGGCCGAGUUCGUCGGGUUCUGUUGCCGAAUGCCUACAGCAGAGAAGCAGGGAAGAUGAAGAGAGAAAGAUGAUGAGAGAAAGAAGGAGAGAGAGAGAGAGAGAGAGAGAGAGAGAGAGAGAGAGAGAGAGAGGAGGCAGCUACUGGAACCGAUUUCCAGCUGCUAUUGCAACUCGACUCGACCAUCCUAGCACGAUUGGACAGCUCCAGCAGCGUCCAUCUAUCAAGGGUCUGAAAGAAAGCCAACCGGCUCAUAGAAUCUCUCCAAUCCGCAAGCAGUCGCAGGGUGAAAUCCCUGAUCUGUCACCAUGGUCGUGGUUGGUUUGCCUGGAGCAAGGCCCAACACUUUGAGCCGGCCUCAGGGACUGUUUUCAACUGAUACACUUGAAAGACACCUUCCUUCAAUCAAUUCCAAAACAGGAGCUCAUAAACUCACCUCAUAAGAAGAUUCAAAUCAAAAGAUACUCUCAAUCAUGGUGAGGGAUAUCCCACGUGACUUCAUCAUUUCAUGGAAUUCUAAAAUAAUUGUAGAAAGAUAUUACAAUUGUACAAAUAGUAGUUGUGUUCCUUUAACUUUGAAUUUACAUGAAUAGACAUGUGGGACUGCCUCAAUUUAUGUUACCCCAACAUAUCUUAUAAGAAUUGCUUUAAGAUC